AAGUCUGAAACAAAGCUUCUGAUUGGUCAAAGAUCCAAAAUGGAAGGCUACAAGUCCGCAAACAACAACCGUAGUCUUUUACGUCUUGAAAAACGGGGUCAGAAUGAUCAUUAAAGUCUUUCAAUGUUGGAUUUAUCGUCAUGGACGUGUUGUACAGAGUCUCCGAAAAGACACUGAAGUUCCAGUCCGCGCUCCAAAUCUUCUGAAAGGGCCAGUGUCGCACGGAAGUGUUCGCUUCCCGUCAAAACAAACCACCCAGUGUCAGCGCUGAACAAAGGGAAUCAUAUCAGAAACACGGAGACGACUCCUGGCCAGAUGUGCGUCCAUCCGUCCGUGGACACCAACCGACUGCGGGACAACAAUGACUGUGAUGGCAGCUGGCCAGACACGUGUGCUCCCCCUCUUCAUCCGCAGCUCUCAGGAGAGGAGAUGGAAAAGUCAUCAUUUUAAUAUGACAGCCAUCCAGUUAUCCAGAGCGACAAAGAAUGUGAUCAACAGCUUGAAGGGUCAGAGUGCAGAUCAGUGGGAUCCACAGAAUGAUUGUGUAUGGUGGAGUAUUGAGCACAAAGUGGAGAAACCAACCCUCUCGAACAUGGACAAGUGCUCGAGCAUCCUCCUCUGCAUCGACUUUACUAUUGAUCUUUGGGAUCGAGCUGCAUGAGUGCCGUGGGAGGACAAUUAUGCAACCGUGGAAGUGGGAGGGGACAGAGAAAAGUCCUUCACUUACACUCGAGUGUCACUGGACAUGGACCAGAUCCUUUUUGAGAAAAAAUGAAGGGCUAACAGCAGGUGGCAGCAGAAGCCCAACACUGGGGAGCAACAGCUGAUCUUACAUCCUGAAUAUCCAUCUAGCUGCUGCCAGGUUUGACCCUGCGUUGGAGAAACACCCUGAAUAACUGUAGGUACAGAGCUGAACGAGGGCGAGCGGCUCGCACCUGCUGAGGAAAAACUUUGUUCUUUAUUUGAAUUAUUGGAGGAUGAAGGGGUGGUAGGAAAUGCUUUUCUAAUUACAGGACGGUUGGCGGAUGAUGGGACUGCGGGAUGGAAAUGCUCACAACAGUUUAUCACACUUUUUAGCACAAGGUCAAACCUAAGAACCUUUAUUACUAUCUCAGAGGUCUGAGACUUGACGCUCCAGCUGGCUCGCGUGUCUCUGCUCUUCUUCCUUUUACUCUUGAGUUGCGACCAAACAUUUCUAGUCACAGAACUGGGAAUUCCAGAAAAAAAUCCAUCACUGGAAAAAGAUCCUCGCCCUAUAACUAAUGUGGAACUCUGAACUGGGGCUCGUGCAUUCAAAUCAUUUGAAAAACUGAGUUAUUAAUGUAACCAUGCUUUUUCUUUUACAUGUCCCCAUGAUGACUUGUGGCAACUCUGGAAGCUGCUUUAAGUGUUUGGGGUCACUGUCCAAAGCCUAACAUGAGUUUGCAGAACCAAAUCUCUUGAAACCAUCUCAUCAACAUCUGCUCAUAUGCCCAGCCCUAUAAAAACUCAAGAAUGCUGCUAGCCUGUGUGUUUUACUGCUUACGGGGCUACUUCACUUUUUUCCAUAUGCUG